GGGCCCGCACAAGCGGUGGAACACGUGGCUUAAUUCGAUGCAACGCGAAGAACCUUACCUGGGUUUGACAUGUAUCGGACAGGUUGUGAAAGCAACCCUCCUCUUCGGAGGCCAAUACACAGGUGCUGCAUGGCUGUCGUCAGCUCGUGUCGUGAGAUGUUCGGUUAAGUCCGGCAACGAGCGCAACCCUCGUCCUUAGUUUGCCAGCGGAUAAUGCCGGGGACUCUAGGGAGACUGGCCCUUAUCAAGGGCAGGAAGAUGGGGACGACGUCAAGUCAGUAUGGCCCUUAUACCCAGGGCUGCACACAUGUUACAAUGCUCGACACAAAGAGAUGCAAGAUCGCGAGAUGGAGCUAAUCUCAAAAAUCGAAGCUCAGUUCGGAUUGGAGUCUGCAACUCGACUCCAUGAAGUCGGAAUCGCUAGUAAUGGCGUAUCAGCAACGACG
rnacentral:rRNA from 1 species